rnacentral:rRNA from 1 species
CAAUGGACGGAAGUCUGACCGAGCAACGCCGCGUGAGUGAAGAAGGUUUUCGGAUCGUAAAGCUCUGUUGUAAGAGAAGAACGAGUGUGAGAGUGGAAAGUUCACACUGUGACGGUAUCUUACCAGAAAGGGACGGCUAACUACGUGCCAGCAGCCGCGGUAAUACGUAGGUCCCGAGCGUUGUCCGGAUUUAUUGGGUGUAAAGCGAGCGCAGGCGGUUAGAUAAGUCUGAAGUUAAAGGCUGUGGCUUAACCAUAGUACGCUUUGGAAACUGUUUAACUUGAGUGCAAGAGGGGAGAGUGGAAUUCCAUGUGUAGCGGUGAAAUGCGUAGAUAUAUGGAGGAACACCGGUGGCGAAAGCGGCUCUCUGGCUUGUAACUGACGCUGAGGCUCGAAAGCGUGGGGAGCAAACAGGAUUAGAUACCCUGGUAGUCCACGCCGUAAACGAUGAGUGCUAGGUGUUAGACCCUUUCCGGGGUUUAGUGCCGCAGCUAACGCAUUAAGCACUCCGCCUGGGGAGUACGACCGCAAGGUUGAAACUCAAAGGAAUUGACGGGGGCCCGCACAAGCGGUGGAGCAUGUGGUU